rnacentral:rRNA from 1 species
UACGUAGGGUGCAAGCGUUGUCCGGAAUUAUUGGGCGUAAAGAGCUCGUAGGCGGUUAGUCGCGUCUGCUGUGAAAACUCGGGGCUUAACUCCGGGCCUGCAGUGGGUACGGGCUGACUAGAGUGCGGUAGGGGAGACUGGAAUUCCUGGUGUAGCGGUGAAAUGCGCAGAUAUCAGGAGGAACACCGGUGGCGAAGGCGGCCAACUGGACGAAUACUGACGCUGAGACUCGAAAGCGUGGGGAGCAAACAGG